rnacentral:rRNA from 1 species
AUUUAUCGGUAUGAGAUGGCGAUGCGUCCCAUUAGCUUGUUGGUGAGGUAACGGCUCACCAAGGCAUCGAUGGGUAGGGGUUCUGAGAGGAAGGUCCCCCACAUUGGAACUGAGACACGGUCCAAACUCCUACGGGAGGCAGCAGUGAGGAAUAUUGGUCAAUGGACGAAAGUCUGAACCAGCCAAGUAGCGUGCAGGAUGACGGCCCUCUGGGUUGUAAACUGCUUUUAGUUGGGAAUAAAAAGAGGGACGUGUCCCUUAUUGCAUGUACCAUCAGAAAAAGGACCGGCUAAUUCCGUGCCAGCAGCCGCGGUAAUACGGAAGGUCCAGGCGUUAUCCGGAUUUAUUGGGUUUAAAGGGAGCGCAGGCGGCGGCGUAAGUCAGUUGUGAAAUCGUGCGGCUUAACCGUGCAAUUGCAGUUGAUACUGCGUCGCUUGAGUGCACACAGGGAUGUUGGAAUUCAUG